ensembl:lncRNA
AAGUGUUUGUGCGCUUUCAGGAUAUAAAAGAUAAAGACAUAUAAACUCUUUACUCUCUAAACACAGAUAUAAUCAGGAAAAUUCGUCAGUGCAUUCUCAGUCGAUUUAAAGCCUCCUCGAGGAUCUUCGGUCUGUGUUUCAGUCUUUGAAUCUGUCGAUCGGUUUGAUUGUGACUACGUUCUCACACAGCGGAGCAGAUUACAAUAAUAUCCGCCGACCGUCUUCAGAAACUCCCUUUUUUGCCUAAUUUUACGGCAGUAUGAAAAGCAUCACAUUGUACUUUGUGUUCUUAUUCUAUAUGGAAGGUGUGUUUGGUGAAACGGUGUCAGUAACUGUGGGAGAGUCUGGCACUCUGUCCCCUAGUCUUACUGAAAUAAAGAAAGAUGAUGUGUUCGACUGGAGGUUCGGAGACAUUCUUAUAGCUAGAGUAAGAAAUAACAAUAUCCCCUCAACGUAUGAUGAUGCUCUUGAUGGGAAAUUCAGAGGCAGACUGCAGCUGAAUGGUCAGACAGGAGAUCUCACCAUCACAGACAUCAAAACCACAGACAGUGGUGUUUAUGAAAUAACCAACAGCAUCAACACCUUUAGGAAGACAUUCACUGUCACUGUUACCUCAGGUCUGUCUGCAGGUGAAAUAGCAGGGAUUGUUGUUGGUGGUGGUGUUGUUCCGCUGGUGGCUGCAACUGUUGUUGGUGUGAUUUGCUACAAGAAAAAAAGUCAAGUUUUAUGAGCUUCUGUGACAGGCGAUGACUGACGCUGGCAAGUAACUCAGGUCUUUCGGUGUCAGAAGUGCAUUUAUCAUCAUUAACAAUGAUUCUUAUUUUAGCAGAGUGACGAAUAGUUUGGAUGACUUUACAGAUUAAUAAUGUCAUAGUCAAUAGUUCUCCUUGAAAAUGUGUGACAGAAAAGCACUUGCUAAUUGAUUUUUCUGUUUAUUUUAAAUAUGU